CACGUAGGGCGCAAGCGUUGUCCGGAAUUAUUGGGCGUAAAGAGCUCGUAGGCGGUCUGUUACGUCUGCUGUGAAAACCCGGGGCUUAACCCUGGGCUUGCAGUGGAUACGGGCAGACUAGAGGCAGGCAGGGGAGAAUGGAAUUCCCGGUGUAGCGGUGAAAUGCGCAGAUAUCAGGAGGAACACCGGUGGCGAAGGCGGGUCUCUGGGCCGAUACUGACGCUGAGGAGCGAAAGCGUGGGGAGCGAACAGG
rnacentral:rRNA from 1 species